GAGGAUGGGGGGAACUGACCUUUCUCUGGUCGAGCUGAGAGAUGUGAAGAAGCGUCGGCGUCAUCGUCGGGUACAGCGUCACCAUCACGCCCGAUUCCCUGCAAGCGAGCAGGGGAAGGGCCCGAUACAUGACCGCAAAUGGCCAAGAGCUUCAAGCUCAUCAUUGAUCAUAUGGCCUACCAAAAAUGGUCAAAUCAGAACACUGCGCACCUCUUCCUUGAGGAACUGCUCAACCAUUUCUUUUGCUUCAUUCAUGGCAUCCUGGUUCGGCGCAAACAUCUCGAAGC